UACGUAGGGUCCGAGCGUUGUCCGGAAUUACUGGGCGUAAAGGGCUCGUAGGCGGCCAACUAAGUCGGAUGUGAAAUCCCCAGGCUCAACUUGGGAACUGCAUCCGAUACUGGAUGGCUUGAAUCCGGGAGAGGGAUGCAGAAUUCCAGGUGUAGCGGUGAAAUGCGUAGAUAUCUGGAGGAAUACCGGUGGCGAAGGCGGCAUCCUGGACCGGCAUUGACGCUGAUGAGCGAAAGCUAGGGGAGCAAACGGG
rnacentral:rRNA from 1 species